CAUUGCACAUGCAUACAGUGGCUCUUUGAGAGGUGAAAGAGAAGAGAGAAGAAAUGGAGAGAGUGAUGACACAGGUAACAACCCAACCACCACAUUUUUUAUUUCAUUCUCUUUUUUUUU
rnacentral:ribozyme from 1 species